AUUGAACGCUGGCGGCAUGCCUUACACAUGCAAGUCGAACGGUAACAGGUCUUCGGACGCUGACGAGUGGCGAACGGGUGAGUAAUACAUCGGAACGUGCCCAGUCGUGGGGGAUAACUACUCGAAAGAGUAGCUAAUACCGCAUACGAUCUGAGGAUGAAAGCGGGGGACCUUCGGGCCUCGCGCGAUUGGAGCGGCCGAUGGCAGAUUAGGUAGUUGGUGGGAUAAAAGCUUACCAAGCCGACGAUCUGUAGCUGGUCUGAGAGGACGACCAGCCACACUGGGACUGAGACACGGCCCAGACUCCUACGGGAGGCAGCAGUGGGGAAUUUUGGACAAUGGGCGAAAGCCUGAUCCAGCAAUGCCGCGUGCAGGAUGAAGGCCUUCGGGUUGUAAACUGCUUUUGUACGGAACGAAAAAGUCUCCUCUAAUACAGGAGGCCCAUGACGGUACCGUAAGAAUAAGCACCGGCUAACUACGUGCCAGCCGCCGCAGUAAAAC
rnacentral:rRNA from 1 species